rnacentral:rRNA from 1 species
UACGUAGGUGGCAAGCGUUAUCCGGAUUUAUUGGGCGUAAAGGGAACGCAGGCGGUCUUUUAAGUCUGAUGUGAAAGCCUUCGGCUUAACCGGAGUAGUGCAUUGGAAACUGGGAGACUUGAGUGCAGAAGAGGAGAGUGGAACUCCAUGUGUAGCGGUGAAAUGCGUAGAUAUAUGGAAGAACCCCAGUGGCGAAGGCGAUUCUCUGGACUGUAACUGACGCUGAGGCUCGAAAGCGUGGGGAGCAAACAGG